CGGAGAUCCCCUCAUGGCCUCCAAAGUUCAUGCACGUACAAGGUGGCUUUCCUCAAGAAGCUAAUUGAUUCUGGCGAGAUGUGGCAACGGCACGAGGCUGAUUGCUUUCUACAUAGGACCGGCUUGCUUUGGUGGAUGCCCGCGCAUCUGGCCGGAAAGCAAUUCACAACAUGCAGGUGCCAGAUCGAUCAAGAUCGGCUUCACCUUCAUAUCGGCGCCCUUGGACAUUGCCACACCCUUUGUUGGAUCUCCUCGAUUGUCCAAUCGACUCCAUCCAGCGACAACAACAACUCCAAUAGGUUGGCUCAAAAUCUUCGUCGCUCAGCUUGAUUGUCCAAUCGACUCCUUUUAGUGAUCGCCCCACCUCUAGUAGGUAUUACCAUCUUAUGCAAAAAAGCAAUUAAUUUGCAUGAUUCAUUGUAAGCCAGACUAAUGAACUCCCUUGCCGUACUUACAUUUCCCUCAAGUUAAUAGUUUUGUGUUCAAGGUUUGAUUCGAACAGAACUCCUAACUAUACAUAUAAUUAUUUUUCCAGCUAUAUUGCUCCUUUAGUCAAUAGAUACCCACAUCAUUGAGGCCCUUAAGAAUGUGCUGGAUAGAGAUAAUAUACUAGCAAAAACAUUCAGAAUGGCAAGUCACACAUUCAAAGAAUGUGACUAUCACAAUGCCAGAUUAAAACUAACAAAUAAGUGUGGCACAGAUGGAAAACGACAUGGUAUGCCAUCUGCAACUGAAGUUGCAGCCUUGAUUGUGAAUGGUACACUAGAAAAAAAUACAUGGUAUGCCAUUGUUCAGUAUAAACAUAUUCAUCAAAGCACAGAUAAUAAAUAACAGGAUCACAUGUGGAGGAAAAGGUCUAUAUUCCAAACAUAAUCAUGUCACCAGUUGAAUGGGUGUGGUUGUUCCUUCUAAAAAGGAGACAAUACCCUAUCUCAUCAUGCUUUGCAAUGACAAUAAACAAAAGGCAGGAGCACUCUCCAAACAAGGUUGGACUAUAUCUACAUGAACAAGUCUUUACACAUGGACAUCUAUACGUACCAUUCUCAAGAGUCAGAAAAGGGGAUGGACUGCAAGUAAUGGUAAAUGAUAAAGAUAACAAUAAGGAUGUUGGGGUCAAGAACAUAAUCUACAAAGAAUUUUCUAAAAUUAUGAACUAAAAGUCUAAAAUACACACUGUAAGUGCAUCUAGUGCCCCUUAGUG